UUGAAAUUAAAAUCUGUCAUAUUUUCAAGUCUGUACACAUUGCAUGAUUAACAUAGAAGAACAACCCAGUUGUAUCAUCCGUUUAACAUAUUCUGGUCAUUUGCAUACAAAUGUAAAUACAAAUGUAUAAGCUCAGUAUAAACAACUGUACCAGCACUUUCGUGAGCAUCGCUUAGACUGUCUGACAUAAAGAUAAGAUUGUUUCUAUAAACGUACUGGAAAGAGAUACUAUAGCUAGUAUGGGGUUGAUACGGUAAGACACCGUACUCGUGGAAAGUACAUACUAUGUCAAGAAUGGGUGAGCAUUUAUCUGUCACCUUCUGAUUUCUGUCUAUACAAUUAUUGAUGAAAUCAGAACAAAUAGAUACAGUAUAUUAUACGCCUUAAGUCUUCUUCCUCCACUCAUUUGGCAGCCACCAGUAACUGGUUUAGACCGGUUUCGUGCAGAGCUGACUAGUCGAGGAACUAGAUUCCCCCACAGUGACGUCAUGCGUGGGUACAUGUGAUCUUUGACCGACAUGUUGGUGUUCAGAGCGAAGUACGAUUCAGAAGUGUCGUUGAACUCUGGCCAGCCAUUUGGAAUCUUGUUUGAAAGACUGGCACUGGGGUUUCUGUAACAAAGAACAAUAUAAAUUUGCUUCAAUAUUAUGGUUAUGUUUAGUUUCAGACUUACCUUUGAAAAAUCCGAGCCAGAUUUUGAUCAUGAUCGAACAGACAGACAUACGUCUUUCCUGACCCUGGGACGUCUGAGUGUGUCCUAGCCAGAUCUGACGCAGACGUCACAAAGACGUCAUUGAUGAACCUAACGGCGGAAUCCUUUUUAAUCAGUUCUGUUGUGAAAUUCAGAGGAUCAAGUGGCGGACUUGACAGCUGAGAUGGAAGUACCCAUAGCGGGUGUCACUGGUGGCCAGGAUAUACUCACCUUUCGCGGACACCUGAUAUCAUCAGUUUUCAUAAGUGCAUGUUAUCACAGCAAUAUUUAUUCCAAUGACCUCUGUCCUGUGCUAGCUUUGAUUUAGAAACUAGUCUGGAAGUGGCAACCCUCUUUGCACGGUGCAGCAAAGAUGUUUGUCCAGUGAAGGAUCUCCUAGGAAGUAGCUGUCCUCCUAUAGACUAGGUACUAGAUAGAGUGACAGAAUCAACACUAUUUUGUCAAUUGCCCAUUCGACUCUGCAUUGUGCAGAGAUACGUGCUUGAUAAUGGAAAAUAGUGUUGUCGUUCAUAUUCUUCUAACGUUGUCAAUUGUACGAUGGUUUUACAGUUCAUUAUAAACUGUAACAAUUAUUAUAUGUUUUGGGUUGUUGUGUGUGUUCGUUUGUUUGGGUUUUUUUAGUGGGUUUUUUUUUUAAUGAAUAACAAUUAUUUCUCGUUCCUAAUUAAAACCUUUAUUUUUGAAACAUGAGACUGGCGAAGUGACUUUAAAGGUACAAUCAUGCUCUUAACACAGACAAUAUUUACUAGGUAAAAUGACCAGUGGUUCGCUCUAUAUACCACUGGGUGGGCAUACGUUUAUACGUUUACCUGAGGCAGGAUAUGCUCACCUUUCACGAAUUCACAUUAAUAUUAUUAAAGUAUACUACAUACGGUGUUAACAUUUUCUACAGUUAUUUAUUUUUAAAAUGAAUCAUUAAAUAUUUUACAAAUAUAUCGUUGAUGUUCAUAUCAGGUGACUUCGCAGAGUAAGCCUUGAAAUUCCGUUAUAAAACAACAAAAGUCACCUCCCAUGUUGAAACUGUCACAUGGUUGUUACACAUAAAUUUAUAUGACGAUUUCUUUUCAUAAGACCACCGGUCUCGGCAGUGUUAUGGUUAAGGCAUGAUAAGGAAUUCAAAGCUGUUUGGAAACAUACAAUGUAUGAAUGUCUUGGUAAAUAUUUGAAUAUGAAUUUAUCUUAUAAUACAUUUAAUAUUGUUUAUAAUAAAACUGCUUUGGAUGCUAGAGUCUUGUUAUAAUGGGAUACUGUCUGAAAUAGUGAACCUUUUUUUUAAAGUUAGAGUUUGAUCAAUUAUGGUCUCAACCACCUUUCCACAAUCCCAUUAUUACUUAUAAAAACACGUUGUUUUUUAACUCAUUUAUUGAAAUUGAUAUUAGAACUAUUGCUGAUGAAAUGAUACCUGGGUUUUUUCCUGUAUCACCCAUUAUUGAACAUAUUUACGAAAAGUGUUCUGAUAUUUUUGUCAACGAUAUUUUUUCUGCGUAUUAUGUAAUCUUGAACUCUAUUCCAGAUGAAUGGAAACAUCUUAUUGUAAACAAUGAUGCAAAUUAGUCUCAAGUUUUUAAUUUAUUUUAAAAUAAUAAUGGGGAUACUAUUAAUGUAAAUAAAUUCAGUGUGAAAUUAAUACAUUCCAUAUUAAUUUCACAGAAAUUUAAAAUGCCUUCUUGUUUAGCAAAAUGGCAUGAUAUGGGUUUUAAUAUAUUUUGGAAAUCUGUUUGGAAAAUAUAUAUAUAUUAUAGUGAUGAAACGUCUGAAUGUAUUGAUUUGGAUUUUAAAAUUACACCUAACGUUAUUUUUACAUAUCGUAAAUUACAUGUAUUUAAAUAUGGCAAACUUUUAUCAAGUGUAUUCAAAAGAAGAUGAAGAUAUGUGUCAUUUAUUUUUGUAUUGUGAUAAACUUUAUGAUCUAUUUUUUUCUUUUUCAUGAAAUAUUGUUUUUGUCUUUAUAACAGCUUAAAAACUAUUACUCUUUGGUUGUUGUGUUAAAAUACAGUGCUGUUCGGUGGAAUUCGUAAAUGUGUUGUUGUCUAUAUAUAUAUAUACAGAGAGAGUAUCUUUAACAAGAGACGUAUAAUAGCUGAGGCAAAGGGUUCAAACAUCAAUAUCGUAUUGUUCUUCAAACAUUAUAACGUCAGUACUUUACAGUUCUCUUUAAUCAUUAUCGCUAUCAUAAUACAUUUUCU